AUACCUGGUACCGGGUCUUACCUCACCCGGAUAAUCCUUUGCGGCUGUGUGACUUCCGGGUUGUAUCAGCGAUAAAUAUGGACUAAUUAUCGUUUCAGAUAUGAUUCAAAUAUAUAUGCUGAUGUUAUCUACUGAGACCAUCACUUUCAAUGUAGAACAUCACUACAAUCGGUUGGGCUGCUAGAUUGGUAGCAACAUGAUGUAAGCUAGUGUCUGUUGAAACUCUAUUGUUGGUUGGGCAUCUAUUGCUUACUGGACUGCUAUAUUGGAUGGACCAUACGUGUUGGUUGAACAACAGUUACUAUAAAUGGAUGGACCGAAAGUUUUGGUUGGACCACCAGUGUUGUUUGGACUGCUUGUUGGACAGAAUGUGUGAUGGACAACUAGUAUUAUUUGAAUCACCGUUGGAUAGACAGCUUUUGUUUUAUCAGACAGCUAUAAUCAGUUGAUUUACAAGUUCCUGGAUCGCUAGUUCCUGGCGGAUAAAUAUUCCCUGUAUAGAAGGAAACAAAAAAGCUCUUUUGCUAACUGUAACAAUGACAUGGUUGGUGAAUUGGUAUCAGACAAUUUGCAGCCAAAACAACACAGUGAAGUGAUAGCCGAUUCCUUAAACUCAAAAUGGCAAAUAGAUUUACCGAAAAUAAUUGAUUAUUAUUAUGUCACUUGUCUAUUAUAACCUGCAUUUACAAAGUAUAAAGAGUGAUUAAUGAAAAUAUGAAGUCAGAUAAAGCAAAAACAAAUGUGCACACUUACAUAUUGUCUUGACAUUAAAAUAGAAAGUCAUAGAGAAUACAUCAUAGCUUUUGCUUUUCUGUGUUUUUUCCCGGCCAAAAAAUAAAAUUCCAGAAAUGUAA